rfam:Ictidomys tridecemlineatus contig019960, whole genome shotgun sequence.
UGGGGUUUGGCUCAGUGGUAGAGCACUUGCCUAACACAUGUGAAGCACUGGGUUCGAUUCUCAGCACCACAU